UACGUAGGGGGCGAGCGUUAUCCGGAAUUACUGGGCGUAAAGCGCACGCAGGCGGUUCGCCAAGUUUGGAGUGACAGUUGUCGGCUCAACCGACAAGGGACUUCAAAAACUGGUGAACUUGAGGACGAGAGAGGAACAUGGAACUCCAGGUGUAGUAGUGAAAUGCGUAGAUAUCUGGAAGAACACCAAAGGCGAAGGCAAUGUUCUGGCUCGUUUCUGACGCUCAGGUGCGAAAGCCAGGGGAGCGAACGGG
rnacentral:rRNA from 1 species